CCUACGGGUGGCAGCAGUGAGGAAUAUUGGUCAAUGGACGAGAGUCUGAACCAGCCAAGUAGCGUGAAGGAUGACUGCCCUAUGGGUUGUAAACUUCUUUUAUAUGGGAAUAAAAUGUUCCACGUGUGGGAUUUUGUAUGUACCAUAUGAAUAAGGAUCGGCUAACUCCGUGCCAGCAGCCGCGGUAAUACGGAGGAUCCGAGCGUUAUCCGGAUUUAUUGGGUUUAAAGGGAGCGUAGGUGGAUUGUUAAGUCAGUUGUGAAAGUUUGCGACUCAACCGUAAAAUUGCAGUUGAAACUGGCAGUCUUGAGUACAGUAGAGGUGGGCGGAAUUCGUGGUGUAGCGGUGAAAUGCUUAGAUAUCACGAAGAACUCCGAUUGCGAAGGCAGUUCACUGGACUGCAACUGACACUGAGGCUCGAAAGUGUGGGUAUCAAACAGGAUUAGAUACCCGAGUAGUC
rnacentral:rRNA from 1 species